CAAAGGUUCUCUCAGUACGGUCGGAAAUCGUACGUAGAGUGUAAAGGCAAAAGAGAGCUUGAUUGCAAGACAUACAGGUCGAGCAAGGAUGAAAAUCGGACUUAGUGAGCCGGUGGUUCUGCGUGGAAGGGCCAUCGCUCAACGGAUAAAAGCUACCCUGGGGAUAACAGGCUUAUCUCCCCCAAGAGUCCACAUCGACGGGGAGGUUUGGCACCUCGAUGUCGGCUCAUCACAUCCUGGGGCUGUA
rnacentral:rRNA from 1 species